ACAAUCCACACAUCAUUAAGGAGCAUCUUUUUGGAGAAGCCCAGAGAAGGGGAGGAGGUAUCCUGUAUCCAAGGCUUCACACACAGAAUUCUCCAGUGUGAUGAAACCCUCUGGGAGGAAGGUAGGGGAUGCACAGCAGAAGUGACAAACUUUUUCUGUAAGGAUCAGAGGCCUUGCUUGGAGGGGGCCCAGCCUUUCUGGUGUCUGCUGAUCACACCCCACGCUCUCCCAAAGCAGAAAGCCAGAGGAGCUUGGCUUACUGCAAAUCCUUCCAGAGGGGAUCUCAUGGGAAUUGAGCUGUAAGCAUGGGGGUUGGACCACAGAGUUCUCUGAGGUCCUUCCCAGCUCUGGCAUGCUUUGCCUUUGAGACAACCAUUUUUGGCUGAGUGACUCCCAAGUGUCUGCUUGGGAGAACUUUGCAUGAGUAGCUGACACUGACACCACCCACAGUGACGCCAGAAAACCUGCUGGGCCUGAAGGUGUUAACCUUUGCCACCACUGCUCCGGGGCUCCCUGUCCUCCACCAUCUCCCCCACCCCACCCCCAGGAGUGGGAGGCCUGGGUCUUUGCCGCCGGUGCUCAGCCGAAGACCCAGGGCCAGCCCUGCCAGCAUCAGAUUCAGGGAGAGCUGGAUGCUCCCAGCCUCCCUCCGGCGGCCGUCCAAGGACGCCUGGCAGAAGCAGCUGGAAGGCUUUUCUCUGGAGACUGUGCUUUGCUGCUCAUCCUAGAUCCUGAGGUGGGCGACCCAAGCAGGAGGGCAGAGCCAGGAAGCAAGCAAGGCCCUCGUCAGGGACUAGACCCCUCUUAGAAUGUAGUGUCUCCUGAGAAGGCAACUUUUCAGGCAAGACUGUGUCUUCAAUCUAUUUAAGUCACAUGUAUUAUUUUACUUUUUUGUAAACAUCAUUUUUUUUAAUGUAAAUCUUAAAAGCACAGGAAAGCAAAAUGAAAUAAAAGCUACCUGUAACCCCACUCAGAGGUUACUUUGUUAACAUUUUGGUACAGCUGCUUCCAGGCCCAUGUUGUAUGUUUAAAAAAAAAAAAAACAAUUUCAGCAUCAUGCAGGAUGGAGACAGUAAAGUAUACUGGUUAGAAUUGGGGUCCAGACUAGACUAACUGGGUUCAAAUCCAAACUCCACCAUUUGCUGCAUGUCACUUUCCCAAACUUCAGAUCCUGCAUCUCAAACUGAUGCCAACAUCAACAAUGUAAUAAUAUGGCAGUUGCCAGGAUUGAAAGGGAUUGUAUACAUAAAGCAUUUAGAGGAGUCCCAGUGCAUAGCAGCCACUCAAUAGUUGUUAGCUAUUAGUGUUUCUACUUUGCAUCCUGUCUUUUCCUCUUAUAUGUAUGACAUCAACACCUCCAUAUGUCAUUAAUAUUCUCUAUGGCAUAAUUGAAUGGCUGUAUUCUUAUCAUACAUUAUUUGACCAUUUUCUUGUAAACAUCUAAUAUAAAUAACACUGUGAUGAACAUCCUUCUGCAUUCUAAGAGGGCACAAGCUUGAGUCUGAUUUGUUCUCACACAAGUUUAUUUUUGCAUAAGUUAAUUUGCAUGAAGAAAAUUAACUUGGAGAAUAUUUAUGCUUAUGAACUUGGAAGAGAUAUUGGAGACUUCUAAUCUGUAUAGUUUUGCCUUUUCUAGAAUGUCAA